rnacentral:rRNA from 15 species
GUCAACCAGUACCGUGAGGGAAAGGUGAAAAGAACCCCGGAAGGGGAGUGAAAAGAACCUGAAACCGUGUGCUUACAAGUAGUCAGAGCCCGUUAAUGGGUGAUGGCGUACCUUUUGCAGAAUGGACCGGCGAGUAAUGAUCCCAUGCGAGGUUAAACCGAAGAGGUGGAGCCGCAGCGAAAGCGAGUCUGAAUAGGGCGCGUAGUAUGUGAUUGUUGACCCGAAACCAGGUGACCUAUCCAUGUCCAGGGUGAAAGUGCGGUGAAACGCACCGGAGGCCCGAACCCACGUAUGUUGAAAAAUGCGGGGAUGAGGUGUGGAUAGAGGAGAAAUACCAAUCGAACUUGGAGAUAGCUGGUUCUCUCCGAAAUAGUUUUAGGACUAGCCUCGGAUAAUAGCAUGAUGAAGGUAGAGCUACUGUUAGGACAAGGGGCCCUUAUCGGGUUACCAAAUCUUGAUAAACUCCGAAUUUCAUCUAUG